CCUACGGGGAGCAGCAGUGGGGGAUAUUGCACAAUGGGGGAAACCCUGAUGCAGCGACGCCGCGUGUGGGAAGACGGUCUUCUGGAUUGUAAACCACUGUCCCCAGGGACGAAAAUGACGGUACCUGGGGAGGAAGCUCCGGCUAACUACGUGCCAGCAGCCGCGGUAAUACGUAGGGCGCAAGCGUUGUCCGGAAUUACUGGGUGUAAAGGGAGCGUAGGCGGGGAUGCAAGUUGGGUGUCAAAACUACCGGCUCAACCGAUAGUCGCACUCAAAACUGCAACUCUUGAGUGAAGUAGAGGCAGGCGGUAUUCCUAGUGUAGCGGUGAAAUGCGUAGAGAUUAGGAGGAACACCAGUGGCGAAGGCGGCCUGCUGGGCUUUUACUGACGCUGAGGCUCGAAAGUGUGGGGAGCAAACAGGAUUAGAUACCCCUGUAGUC
rnacentral:rRNA from 1 species